GACAUCCUUAUGAGACUACAGACCUGGUGUACCAGAAGAAGACCAGUCCUCAGACCGCUGAGGAGUUUUAUUUGUCCACCAACGACACCAACAACCUUCAUCCAGGGGAAUACCUGUCCUCUUACACCAGGAGAGCACGCUGGUGGUCUCCAUCACAGCUCCACAAGUUUUAAUGGCGCCAUGACUAAGGUGUGUGUUCACAUCAUCACUGCUUCCUGCUGAUGGUCCAAUCCAAUUCUUCCCCUUCAGCCGCUGUGCUCCAUGUACAACCCCAGCAAAGGGCUGCUGCUCUCCAAGCAAUGGCUGAAAGCAGAUGUCAUCCCAAUAUGGGGUAUCCUACAUCCACUGGAUGUCCCCACAGGAGUACCUGUGCCUCCUCUACCUCUUCAUCUUGCAUCCUGACCUGGAGCUGCCGAACCAUCACCUGCCGUUUCCAUUCUGCUAUGGGGCGUCCAGUUUCAUCGUGGGUU